rnacentral:ncRNA from 2 species
UACUUAUCAAGAAAGGCGGAGGGUAAUGGCCCUGCGAAGCCUUGGCAACCUCCUUUUAUACUUCAUUGUACUAAAAGGAAAGGUGCCAAUUCCAUCACGUGAAAAACGUGAAAGAUAAGCC